rnacentral:rRNA from 1 species
UACAGAGGUCCCGAGCGUUGUUCGGAUUCACUGGGCGUAAAGGGUGCGCAGGUGGGUUGGCAAGUUUGAUGUGAAAGCCCCGGGCUUAACCCGGGAAUGGCAUUGAAUACUGCUGAUCUGGAGGAUUGGAGGGGGACUGGAAUUCUUGGUGUAGCAGUGAAAUGCGUAGAUAUCAAGAGGAACACCAGUGGCGAAGGCGAGUCCCUGGACAAUACCUGACACUGAGGCACGAAAGCCAAGGGAGCAAACAGG